rnacentral:lncRNA from 1 species
UUAUAGUAAGAAGUACUACUUAGUGAACCUUUCAAUUAAUCGAUCUCCUAUAAAGUCUUCUUUGAGCCUUGUGAACCAACAUAUAUUUAUUGUCUAGAAAAGAAAGAUGGCUAAUUCCAAUGUAGGUAUGAAGAACAAGAUUCGAGGUCUAUUUGAAUCCCUCAUUUCAUGUGGAAAACCUGUUAAAGGUAUGAUUUGAGAACUAUAUUAUAUCUUGAAUAGAAAAUUUUCAUUCCCUUUCAUAAUUUUCAUUAAUUUUUGAAAAUUCAUGUUAUUCAGAAAGGUUUACUUAUGACAAUGUAAAUAAUGUUUACUAUUCAUACAAUUUAAUCUAUCAUAACAGGUUAUUUAUUUUAUUUUCAUAUUCCCUCUAUAUAUCUCAAAUGUCGUGAUUUCUAAAAAUAGUUAUCUCAAUUUUUUGGUCAUUUUAGAAGUUUAAGAUAAAAUAAAUUAUAUUUUUCUUAUUAAUCCCUUAAUAGUAAUUGUUGUUGAAAAAUGAGAUAACACGUAAAUAGAAUAAAUAUUUAACGAAGAGAAAUAAUAUCUUAAGACAUAAAUAAUGGUAAAAUAGUCUAAAUUUUCUCCUAAUUAUUUUUUUUAAGGGGCGUGUAAAAGAAAAACACGACGGAUUAGUUGAGACGGACAAAGUAGCUUAUAUGAUCUUAUCUAUAGGCCAACUUCAUUUGAUGGCGUAAAAUAAAUACAAUCAUUUUUAGUAACGCAAAAAUUCAUUAUGAAUAUUAUUGGGAAAUAAGUUUGGUACUACAGAAAAAAACAGGAACUAGUAUCGGACGAAUCCCAUUACUAAAUAGCAUAUUUUCGUCAUUAAACUCAUCUCAGCUACGAAUGAUUUAGCGAUAGUGAUGAAUUUUAUAGCUAAUUCUGAUUUUAUAUGUCUUCAUCAACUUUGUUAUAACCAGGAAAUGGCCCAGGACAAGAGCUACCAAUGGCAGAAGCAGAAAAUAUACAAGGGAAAGUAGUAAUAGGGGAAGCAGAAGAAAAUGCAAAAGGGCCAGAGUUAGCAGAAAAAGAUAAAGAUGAAGCAGAAAAUGAAAACAGGCCACCACCAGUGGCAGAACCUUCAGUUCAACCAACACCUUCAGUCAAACCAAUGGAUCCUAUUCCUAAGACUGGUUGAACUCAUGAUACAAUACUUGGAAAUUAUAUUCCAAUAUUGUUGUUAAUUUGAUUAAACUUUUAAGGUGGUGUUUAAUUGGUUGGCAAAUUUUAUUAUUGCAAAAACUUUGUAUUUGGUCAUCCUUCCCCUUUCUUAUUUUAGUUGCGGUUUAUCAAUCUAAUGAUGUGUACGAAAUUGAAAAAGAAAUCUAAUUGGAAAAUUUUCCGUUUUGUCUUAUUUAAUGCUUUGUACAUGUAUAUGUACAAAUUAGCAUAUGCAAUAACAGAAAUAUUUAUUCCUUCCAACUAACCUACUAACUUUGUUCCCUUAUAUUAUAUUCCUCUCAUCUAACCCACUAACUAGGUUCUCUUAUAUUCUAUUCACCUAACUCACUAACUAUAUAAUUUAUCAUAUCAUAAAUAUAUCCAAAGGACUCUUAACUUUUCUGUGGGCAGAAUACACAACUACUUCUAGGUCUUCUUCUUAUUCACCAUUCUUCUCUAUCCAUGAGUCUUAGAAUUAGGAUACGGUUUCUUUUUUCCAAUACCCCCCUCAAGUUAGAGGGUAACUUUGUGACCCCUAACUUGCUCAAAAUCUCGGAGUGAGAAACCCCACAAAGUGUCUUUGUGAAGAGAUCCGCCAGUUGGUCUUUGGAUGGAACAAAAGAAAGGGUAAUUAAACCGGAAAGGAACUGUUGAGGCACAAAAUGAUAGUUAAUCUCAACAUAUUUUGUGUGUUCGUAGAAAACGGGAUUACGGGCGAUGUGAAUGGUUGCCUUGCUGUUAGAAUGAAGAGGUAUGGGAAGACUUACUAGUGCUGGGAGAUGUUCAAGGAGUCGAACUAACCAUGUAAGUUCAGCAGUUACUCUUCUCAUAGAUCUAUAUUCUGCCUCUGCAGAAGAUAGAGAGAUUGACACUUGUUUCUUUGACUUCCAGGAAAUGGGUGCUCCUCCUAGUGUGAUGAAGAAUCCACUGACAGACCUCCUAGAAUCCUUGCAAGAGGCCCAAUCAGCAUCGUAAAAUGCAAGUAAGGAGAAUGAGUGUUCUGCUGAGAGAAGAAUUCCUUGACCAUGAUCAGAGCUCAAAUAUUUGAGCACUCGUAAGGCAGCAGAGAAAUGAGACUUACAGGGUCUCUGCAUGUAUUGACUGAGGGUAAGGACCGCAAAAGAAAGGUCCAGGCGAGUGUUAGUGAGAUAGUUCAACUUUCCAACCAGAUGACGAAAUACUGUUGGAUAUUGCAAAGGAUGCCCAUCAUCAGCUUGAAGCUUUGAGGAAGGAUCAAGAGGAGAACUGACUCAAGGCAAAUGGGAGACAUCAAAUUCCUGCAGCAUAUCCAAGAUAAAUCUCCUUUGGCUUACAAUAAAACCUUCAUUUUCUCGUAGAAUUUCCAUCCCUGAAAAAUAAUGUAUGUCUCCUAGAUUUUUUACCUUGUACUCACUAUUUAGAAAACCCUUAAUAUGCUGAAUUUCUUCUAAGUCAUCUCCAGUAAGCAGCAUGUCAUCUACAUAGACAGCUAGGAUAGAAAUUAUGUUUCCUCUGUAUUUAAAGAAUAGUGAGUAAUCGUUUAACGAUGAAGAAUACCCCUUAAAACUCAAAGCUCAUGUAAGCCUAGCAUACCAUUGCUUGGAAGCUUGCUUUAAACCAUAUAAUGACUUCCUUAGUAAACAAAUAUACUUAGGACUAGGAGGUAUUAAACCUGACCUCAUAUACACUUCCUCUUGUAGAUUACCAUGAAAAAAUGCAUUAUUGAUAUCCAAUUGACACACAUUCUAGUCUCUUUUGGCUGCAAUGGUGAGUAAACACUUUAUGGUUGUCAUUUUCAUCAUUGGUGAAAAAGUCUCAAUAUAAUCUAUUCCUUCUCUUUGGAUAUCUCCCCUGACCACCAGCCUUUCCUUCAACCUUCAAUCCUUCCACCUGACAAAUGAUUUACUUUGUACACUUAUUUGCAAGGUAGAGCUCUUUUCCCUUUAGGUAAUUCAACCACAUCCCAUGUGUGGUUAUCUUCUAGAGCUUUAAUCUCUGAAUUCAUAGCUUCUAUCCAACAUGGACGUUAACAAACUUGUCCAAAAUUGUUAGGUUCUAUGAUAGUAGAGAGGGAUUGCAGCACAUGUUGAUUGUUGGAUGACAGAGAAAAGAAACAAAAUUUUCUAGGCUUACUUGGUUGAGUGAAACAAGUUGCUGCUAUAUUUGUGAACAUAAUGUUACUACAUACAUAAUCUUUCAAGUAGGCUGGUUGAUUGGAAACUCUUCCUGACUUUCUCAGUAGUAUAAAAACAGGUGAGUUAGUGUGUGGUGUAUCUAGGAUAGAUUGAAAAUGAAUCGGGCUAGUAGACAAUUGGUGAUGAGGAGGAGUGUAUGAAGAACUUGGUGUUGGUGAGGAGAAAAUAUCAGAAACUUCAGGUUCUAAAGAGAUGGGUGAGGAUUGAUCCUGUGAUGAAGGUGAAUAAGUAGGUUCUGUAGUAAAUGUUGAGCUUGGGAAUAUAGGGUGUUGUGAUGUGCUAGUUUCAACAAAAGGGAAGUGUGAUUCAUGGAAUUUCACAUCCCUUGACACAAAUAUUCUUCCUGUGGACAAUUCUAAUAGCUUAUAUGCCUUCUGAUGAAGGGGAUAACUAAGCAAAAUAUAAGUUGUUGCCCUGUCAUCAAACUUGUCUCUUCCCUGGGCUACUGUAGAAGCAUAACAGAGGCAUCCAAAAUUUCUUAAAUGAUCAUACUUGAGCUUCUCUUGAAAUAAAAUCUCAUAUGGUGUCUUUUCUUUAAGAACACUAGAAGGCAUCCUAUUAAUAAGAUAUGUGGAAGUUAGGAUAGAUUCACCCCAAUAUGACAUAGGUAGCUUGGAUUGAAACAUUAACCCUCUUGCAAUCUCUAAGAGGUGUCUAUGCUUCCUCUCAACAAUUCCAUUAUGUUGAGGAGUUGCUACACAAGACAGUUGGUGCAGAAUUCCUUCUGAAGCUAGGAAAGCUACCUCUUGUGUACCUUUUCCCAAUUCUAAUGCAUUAUCUGAUCUUAUCAUUUAGACUUUCACAUUGAAUUGCCUGUCAACCAUAGACAGAAAAGAUUUAAGCAUAGGAAAAGCAUUGCUUUUUGUACUUAAUAAAAAGGUUCAUGUUCCUCUGCUAUAGUCAUCUACUAUAGUAAGGAAAUAUAUGAAUCCAUUGUAAGUAUUUGACUUAUAAGGCUCCCAUGUGUCUACAUGUAUAAGUUCAAAAAUAUGCUUGGAUUUUAUGCUACUGACAGGAAAAAGAUUCUUCGUUUGCUUAGCCUCAUGACAAAUAUCACAGAUAAAUUUAGGAUUUAAAUUACAAUGAAGGAAAUCUAAAUGCUUCAUUGCUGAAAAUGAGAGGUGUCCCAAUCUUACAUGCCAAAGUUUAACAUCAAGAGUAGCAAUAACUUGAACUGGACUAGAAAAGGAAACAGACUCUGAAAUGGAAUUUCUUCCUUUUGGAAUUGAAAGUACAUUACUACUGAAUAUCCCCUUAGACUCAACACUACUUGGUUCCAAUAAGUAGAGUCCCUCUCUAACUUCCCCAAAAACUUGUGGACUCUUCAUUAAAAGGCCCUGCAAUACACACCCAAUAGAUGUGAAUAGGAUAUCAUACUUGAACUGACACAAAACCUAUUAACUCAUAAUAAGUUAUAUUUGAAUUAUGAAAAAAGUAACACAUUGUUCAAGAUAUGACCUGGCAGAAUAGAAAUACUCCCUAUAUGAGUAACAAUCACCUUGAAAGAGUUAGGUAAACUGAUAUUCAAAGGUACAUGAAGUGGUGUUAGAAAUAGAAAACAAUUAGGUUCAAAACACAUAUGCUCUGAGGCACCUGAAUCAAUGAUCCAGGUGUCUGAUUUUAGACUAGUAAACAUUGAACCUGAGUAUUUUAAAAUAGUACCAGCAACUGCAUUAACAUUGAUUCCUGUAUUUUCUGCAUGUGCUAACUUUGCCUGCUUAUACAUGUGCAUCAUUUCUACAAUUUAUUCCUUGCUGAGUUGCUGUCUAAAAUUACUGUUGUUGAGCUUAGUGCUUUGUCCUGCUGAAUUCUCAGGUUCCUCAUGUGUUAGGACUGCAUUUCCUUUAAUUUGAUUCUGAUAACCUUUCUGAUUGGUGAACUCAAAAUCUUCUGAAAAUCCAAUAAUUUUGUAGCAGUCCUCUUGUGUAUAUCCUAUUUUUUCACAAUAAGUACAAGAUACAUUUGGAUUGUACUUCCUUUUUCCUUUAAACCUUUGUUGAGGUUUAACAAAUUUUUGCCCUGAGUUGUUAUAUUUGGGUGCUAUGGUUGCUCCUUUUUGUGUUUGGUUUCUAAGUUUCGUAUAAUUCUUCCCUUGUCUUGUGAUCAUAAAAGCUUUAAAUCAGCUAAAAGCUGUGCAUUAUGCUGCUUGGCCUCUCCAACUGCCAUGAAUGAUACUGAUUCAGAAUUAAAAUGUGCAUUUGCAUAAACUUCUAUUUGAUUUUCAUCUUGCAAGAGAUGUGAAUAAGUAGAAUAAGCAAUAUCAAUGCUAGGCAAAUGGUUCAUCAUUAGGAUAUUUCCUCUUGCUUGUGCAUAGAUUUCAUUUAAUCCCAUUAGGAAUUGGAUCAAUCUCUGAUCCUCAAGAGACUUAGUCAACUUUUCCUUUCCUUCAUAAACACAAAUACAUGAACAACAUAUGAUAACAUUUAAUGCAUCUAAUUCAUCCCACAGUCGUUUGAGCUUAGUGAAGUAUCCUGCAAUGUCACUGUUUCCCUGUACUAAACCUAAUAACUCCUUCUGCAGAUGAUAAAGUUUGGCUCCAUUUGAUCUCCCAAAUCUCUUCUCCAGGCUGUCCCAAAGCUCUUUUGCAGUUUUGGAGUAUAUCACAAUGUCUACAAUAUCCUUUAAGAGAGCAUUUAGGAUCCAAGGGAUGACCAUGUCAUUCACGCAACUCCAUUGUUCAUGAUCUAGAGAUUGACAUGCUCCAUUGAUGAAACCAAGUUUCUUCUUGGCUGAAAAAGACAGGAGAAUAGAUCUCCUCCACCCUCGGUAUCCUCUUCCAUCAAACACAGUGUUGACUAGAGUCAUUCGUGGUGAAUUAGAGUUGUUGAGAUGAUAAGGGUGAUUGAUAUCAUAGUUGACUGGUUUUGCAGCAUUUCUCGUAUCACCAGUAGAUGUGAUAGGUUGUUUCAGGCAUUUUAAGUUACUGAUUAUGAUGAUAAAUCUGAUGUAAAUGGAUUUGAUGGUUCGACUGUUGGAUCGAGCUUAUUGCUCUGAUACCAUGUACGAAAUUGAAGAAGAAAUCUAAUUGAAAAUUUUUCUGUGUGUCUUAUUCAUUGCUUUGUAUUAUAUUCUUUGUAUUAAUUGGAAAUUUU